UGGCAAGUACAUAGGUCUGGAUUUGGUGGCUUCGGCUCACACAUAUGGAGCAGGAUGGGGUGACAAAGUAGGGUGGGGUGAAGAUUCCUGUCCGGCGACUUUCGCGUGUUGUGGCUAGCAGCGCUCCACUUCUUUCUCCCCCUGGUUUGUAAUUUCAGAUUGCCGACUACCUUUCAUUGGUGUAUAUGCAAGCUACCGAGACUAUUCUUGACUAGAAUAUGUAUAUGAAUGUGAGCAACAGAGUUCUUUACUCCUAGAAAAUGCACGCGCCAAUGAAAUUCAGGUAUCCCUUGAUAAGUCUCUUAGCAUUUUGCUUUCAUUCGUAGGAUUAAAAUUUGCCAUCAAACAAACAAAUAGUUGUGUUGCUAAGUUUAUUCUGUAAUUUGCAUGCUUUGCAUAGGCUUGGUUUGUUCUGACAGUAGUAUAUUUUUGGAGUUAAAUAUGUUGUGUUUCUAACUGGUUAACACUUUGAGUAGGACACAGAGGAAAUACUUAUAGUUAAAUUUACCCUUCCUGUUAUUCACUUCUGUAUUGGCCAUGAUUUUGAAUUACUUGUGAAACUGCCAUCUCAAAGUGAAUUUUUUUGCUUCACAUGUCUGUGGGGAAAAAAUCCCAUAAAAAGCACAAGAUUUAAAUUACUAUAUUUACUACUUGGACCGUUCUCAUCUUCACUCUACAUAAUGACGCGAUAGUUGGAAAAUAGUUCAAGUGUUUUCUACUUCACCUCCCAUGUUUUCCUCUCCAAAAUCUGGUGUGGGUUUAGGGUUAUAAGAUUUGGGUAGCAUAUAAAAUCAUGUAGAAUUAGUUGUUUU